UAUACUCCCGGUGCGGUCGGUUCACGCGCGGCCUCGGGUCGUGCGUGUCGCAAGAGGGAACCCGGUGCGAAUCCGGGACUGCCCCGCAGCGGUAUGUGGGAACGAACGCCGUUUUUCGAGCACUGGACGCCACGGCGUCGGGGAAGCGACGGCCAGUAGGAGACGUGACGCGCCGCGUCACGCCGUGCCCGCGAGUCCGAAGACCUGCCACCGCCCGUGGUCGCGC
rnacentral:ncRNA from 2 species